rnacentral:rRNA from 1 species
AACGCGAAGAACCUUACCUGGCCUUGACAUGCUGGUAGUAGGAGCCUGAAAGGGUAACGACUCAUCGUAAGAUGAGAGCCAGCACAAGUGCUGCAUGGUUGUCGUCAGCUCGUGUCGUGAGAUGUUGGGUUAAGUCCCGCAACGAGCGCAACCCUUAUCUUCAGUUGCUACCAUUUAGUUGAGCACUCUGACGAAACCGCCUCGGAUAACGGGGAGGAAGGUGGGGAUGACGUCAAGUCCUCAUGGCCUUUAUGUCCAGGGCUACACACGUGCUACAAUGGCCGGUACAAACCGUCGCAAACCCGUGAGGGGGAGCUAAUCGGAAAAAGCCGUCCUCAGUUCGGAUUAGAGUCUGCAACUCGACUCUAUGAAGCUGGAAUCGCUAGUAAUCGCGGAUCAGAACGCCGCGGUGAAUACGUUCCCGGGCCUUGUACACACCGAGACGAC